UACGGGGGGGGCAAGCGUUGUUCGGAAUUACUGGGCGUAAAGGGCGCGUAGGCGGCCUGCUAAGUCGGACGUGAAAUCCCUCGGCUCAACCGGGGAACUGCGUCCGAUACUGGUGGGCUCGAAUCCGGGAGAGGGAUGUGGAAUUCCAGGUGUAGCGGUGAAAUGCGUAGAUAUCUGGAGGAACACCGGUGGCGAAGGCGGCGCUCUGGGCUGCACCUGACGCUGAACUGCGAAAGCCAGGGGAGCGAACGGG
rnacentral:rRNA from 1 species